rnacentral:rRNA from 1 species
CCUACGGGGUGCAGCAGUGAGGAAUAUUGGUCAAUGGACGAGAGUCUGAACCAGCCAAGUAGCGUGAAGGAUGACUGCCCUAUGGGUUGUAAACUUCUUUUAUAUGGGAAUAAAACGUUCCACGUGUGGGAUUUUGUAUGUACCAUAUGAAUAAGGAUCGGCUAACUCCGUGCCAGCAGCCGCGGUAAUACGGAGGAUCCGAGCGUUAUCCGGAUUUAUUGGGUUUAAAGGGAGCGUAGGUGGAUUGUUAAGUCAGUUGUGAAAGUUUGCGGCUCAACCGUAAAAUUGCAGUUGAAACUGGCAGUCUUGAGUACAGUAGAGGUGGGCGGAAUUCGUGGUGUAGCGGUGAAAUGCUUAGAUAGCACGAAGAACUCCGAUUGCGAAGGCAGUUCACUGGACUGCAACUGACACUGAGGCUCGAAAGUGUGGGUAUCAAACAGGAUUAGAUACCCGUGUAGUC